CGGAGAGGGCGCAUGAGAAACGGCUACCACAUCUAAGGAAGGCAGCAGGCGCGUAAAUUACCCAAUCCUGACUCAGGGAGGUAGUGACAAGAAAUAACAACCCGGGGGCUUCACAGCCUUACGGGAUUGCAAUGAGAACAAUUUAAAUCACUUAGCGAGGAUCAAUUGGAGGGCAAGUCUGGUGCCAGCAGCCGCGGUAGUUCCAGCUCCAAUAGUGUAUAUUAAAGUUGUUGCAGUUAAAAAGCUCGUAGUUGAACUUCUGACAGUGUACAAGUAUGGCUUCGGUCAGCUUGUACGCUGUCAUCCGUCUGCAAACCUUGUACAACCUUCAGUGGCUUGGCAAGGGGAGUAGACAUUUUACUUUGAAAAAAUUAGAGUGUUUCAAGCAGGUUGAUGCCAGAAUACUUUAGCAUGGAAUAAUGGAAUAGGACUCUUGUCCAUUUGGUUGGUUAUUGGACCGGAGUAAUGAUUAAUAGGGACAGUUGGGGGCAUUAGUAUUUAAUUGUCAGAGGUGGAAUUCAUGGAUUUAUUAAAGACUAACUUAUGCGAAAGCAUUUGCCAAGGAUGUUUUCAUUAAUCAAGAACGAAAGUUAGGGGAUCAAAGACGAUCAGAUACCGUCGUAGUCUUAACUAUAAACGAUGUCGACUCGGGAUUGGAAAGGUAUCUUUAUCCUUUUCAGCACCGUAUGAGAAAUCAUUAAGUCUUUGGAUUCUGGGGGGAGUAUGGUCGCAAGGCUGAAACUUAAAGGAAUUGACGGAAGAGCACCACCAGGCGUGGGACCUGCGGCUUAAUUUGACUCAACACGGGAAAACUUAUUUCAGCAAAACAUGAGUGGGAUUGACAGAUUGAGAGCUCUUUCUUGAUUUUAUGGGGUGUGGUGCAUGGCCGUUCUUAGUUGGUGGAGUGAUUUGUCUGGUUAAUUCCGUUAACGAACGAGACCUUAACCUGCUAACUAGUCAGUGUGUCACCAACGCAUUGUACUUCUUAGAGGGACUAUGGGUUAUAAGCCCAUGGAAGUUUGAGGCAAUAACAGGUCUGUGAUGCCCAUAGAUGUUGAAAGCGGCACGCGCGUCAUACUGUCCUGUAACAGCAAGUUACAUCCUCUCUUGGAAAAGAAGGGGUAAUCUAUAAAACAGGACGUGGUAGGGAUAGAUCUUUGGAAUUAUAGAUCUUGAACGAAGAAUGCCUAGUAAGUGCAAGUCAUCAACUUGUGCUGAUUACGUCCCUGUCCUUUGUACACACCGCCCGUCGCUCCUACCGAUUUCGAGCGUUAUGGUGAACAUCUUGGACUGCGGGACUCCCUGUGGGUCUUGUGGAAAGUUUAGUAAACCUUAUCGCUUAGAGGAAGGAAAAGUCGUAACAAGGUAACC
rnacentral:rRNA from 1 species